rnacentral:rRNA from 1 species
GGAUGAACGCUGGCGGCGUGCUUAACACAUGCAAGUCGAACGAUGAUGCCCACUUGUGGGUGGAUUAGUGGCGAACGGGUGAGUAACACGUGAGUAACCUGCCCUUGACUCUGGGAUAAGCCUGGGAAACUGGGUCUAAUACCGGAUAUGACUGACCGUCGCAUGGUGGUUGGUGGAAAGCUUUUGUGGUUUUGGAUGGACUCGCGGCCUAUCAGCUUGUUGGUGGGGUAAUGGCCUACCAAGGCGACGACGGGUAGCCGGCCUGAGAGGGUGACCGGCCACACUGGGACUGAGACACGGCCCAGACUCCUACGGGAGGCAGCAGUGGGGAAUAUUGCACAAUGGGCGCAAGCCUGAUGCAGCGACGCCGCGUGAGGGAUGACGGCCUUCGGGUUGUAAACCUCUUUCAGUAGGGAAGAAGCGUAAGUGACGGUACCUGCAGAAGAAGCGCCGGCUAACUACGUGCCAGCAGCCGCGGUAAUACGUAGGGCGCAAGCGUUAUCCGGAAUUAUUGGGCGUAAAGAGCUCGUAGGCGGUUUGUCGCGUCUGCCGUGAAAGUCCGGGGCUCAACUCCGGAUCUGCGGUGGGUACGGGCAGACUAGAGUGAUGUAGGGGAGACUGGAAUUCCUGGUGUAGCGGUGAAAUGCGCAGAUAUCACGAGGAACACCGAUGGCGGUCGAACGAUGAUGCCCACUUGUGGGUGGAUUAGUGGCGAAAGCAUGGGGAGCGAACAGGAUUAGAUACCCUGGUAGUCCAUGCCGUAAACGUUGGGCACUAGGUGUGGGGGACAUUCCACGUUUUCCGCGCCGUAGCUAACGCAUUAAGUGCCCCGCCUGGGGAGUACGGCCGCAAGGCUAAAACUCAAAGGAAUUGACGGGGGCCCGCACAAGCGGCGGAGCAUGCGGAUUAAUUCGAUGCAACGCGAAGAACCUUACCAAGGCUUCGACAUGGACCGGACCGCCGCAGAAAUGUGGUUUCUCCUUUUGGGGCCGGUUCACAGGUGGUGCAUGGUUGUCGUCAGCUCGUGUCGUGAGAUGUUGGGUUAAGUCCCGCAACGAGCGCAACCCUCGUUCCAUGUUGCCAGCGCGUAAUGGCGGGGACUGCAUGGGAGACUGCCGGGGUCAACUCGGAGGAAGGUGGGGACGACGUCAAAUCAUCAUGCCCCUUAUGUCUUGGGCUUCACGCAUGCUACAAUGGCCGGUACAAAGGGUUGCGAUACUGUGAGGUGGAGCUAAUCCCAAAAAGCCGUGUCUCAGUUCGGAUUGGGGUCUGCAACUCGACCCCAUGAAGUCGGAUGUCGCUAGUAAUCGCAGAUCAGCAACGCUGCGGUGAAUACGUUCCCGGGCCUUGUACACACCGCCCGUCAAGUCACGAAAGUUGGUAACACCCGAAGCCGGUGCGGCUAACUACUUGUGGGAGGGAGCCGUCGAAGGUGGGACUGGCGAUUGGGACUAAGUCGUAACAAGGUAGCCGUA